rnacentral:misc_RNA from 1 species
GAUGAAGAACGUAGCGAAAUGCGAUAAGUAAUGUGAAUUGUAGAAUCCAGUGAAUCAUCGAAUCUUUGAACGCACAUUGCGCCCGCCAGCAUUCUGGCGGGCAUGCCUGUUCGAGCGUCAUUUCAACCCUCGACCUCCCUUUGGGGAAGUCGGCGUUGGGGACCGGCAGCACACCGCCGGCCCUGAAAUGGAGUGGCGGCCCGUCCGCGGCGACCUCUGCGUAGUAAUCCAACUCGCACCGGAACCCCGACGCGGCCACGCCGUAAAACACCCAACUUCUGAACGUUGACCUCGAAUCAGGUAGGACUACCCGCUGAACUUAAGCAUAUCAAUAAGCGGAGGA